AUCCCCUUCUAAUCGUCCGUGGUGGUGAGAAGAUAUCGGGUGUCGGCAGCCUGGCCCGGUCUGUCGGGGACCCUGCCCCCACAUCAUGGCUGUCUUCAUCCAGAGCGAUCGCGAUGAUCUGGAACAUUUCUGAUGACCUUGGCCAGGUGGAAAGCGUGCUCUGACUAGCCACACAGUGGAGAUUGAAUGCUCACACAGGAGACCUCACAUAUUCUGCUCACAAAUCAAUCGCAGGAACCAGUUGCAUGGUCUUAUCAACCACAGGCCAUCUUCACAUCACAGGCUUAUCUUCCCCUGGAUCUCCUUGAGUCUUUGGAAAAUACUGAGAUAAUACAACAAAGGACA